rnacentral:rRNA from 1 species
CCCUUAGAUGUUCUGGGCCGCACGCGCGCUACACUGAUGCAUUCAACGAGUCUAAAACCUGCUCUGAUAGGGGUGGGUAAUCUUUUGAAUGUGCAUCGUGAUUGGGAUAGAUGAUUGCAAUUUUUCAUCUUCAACGAGGAAUGCCUAGUAAACGCAAGUCAUCAGCUUGCAUUGAUUACGUCCCUGCCCUUUGUACACACCGCCCGUCGCUCCUACCGAUUGAAUGAUCCGAUGAAUAUCAUGGAUUGAGGAUGCAAGUAGGUUAGCCUAUCUUCAUCCUCGAGAAGUGAAGUAAAUCUUAUCAUUUAGAGGAAGGAGAAGUCGUAACA